CGGCGCUUGGACUGCGAGCACGUUUGCCUGGGGCUCUCCCCGCGCGGGGCGUCAGGCCCGGGACAGUGGACACCACGCUAUGGCAGUCUAUGAAUCUUGACAGAAUGACAGUUGGAUAAAUUCAAGAGGCUCAAGAGGAAUUGCAAGAGUGGGGAAUCUGUGGAGACAAUUUUAUGAGGGAGAACCAUCCUCUGCAUUGUGUUGCCCCUGGCUGCCUUCCAUCUUGGAAGCACAAAGAAAUUAUAAAAACAUACAGAGCUUUAACAUUGCAAACAGAUACAUUAAAAAGCAACCUGAAAAGUUUUUGCUACCUGCCAAUGAAGACUCCAGUCCUGCAAGAUCAAGUGACACCUGAAGUGGUUCAAGAGGCUGAAUUCUGCACCCUGAUUUAAGUGUCUCAUCAACUCUUGCAGGGAAAGCAUGGAAACCUGAAUUUGAGUCCUACAGUUGUACAGAUUUAGACACUGGCAGUAAACCAGCUGCUACUCUAUGGAAGGCCACAGCCUGGGGAAAAGGUCAGGCUGAAGAAACUCAACACAGAAAAAGACCAACACAGUAAAGCAAAGAUUAAUCGAGUUUAUUGCUUCCACAAUCAAGCUUGAG